rnacentral:rRNA from 1 species
GACGAACGCUGGCGGCGUGCUUAACACAUGCAAGUCGAACGGACCUUCUGAUCUUUUGGUUGGUUGGUUAGUGGCGAACGGGUGAGUAACACGUGAGUAACCUGCCCUUCUCUUCGGGAUAACUGUCGGAAACGGUGGCUAAUACCGGAUAUUCAUAUGCUGUCGCAUGGUGGUGUGUGGAAAGAUUUUUUGGUGGGGGAUGGACUCGCGGCCUAUCAGCUUGUUGGUGGGGUAGUGGCUUACCAAGGCUUUGACGGGUAGCCGGCCUGAGGGGGCAGCCGGCCACACUGGGAGGAAGAUGCGGCACAGACUCCUACGGGAGUCAUCAGUGGGGAAUAUGGCACAAUGGGCGGAAGCCUGAUGCAGCGACGCCGUGUGCGGGAUGACGGCCUUCGGGUUGUAAACCGCUUUCAACUGUGACGAAUUUGACGGUAGCAGUAGAAGAAGCACCGGCUAACUACGUGCCAGCCGCCGCGGUAA